CACGUGAAAUCCCGUCGGAAUCUGGGAGGACCAUCUCCCAACCCUAAAUACUCCCUAGUGACCGAUAGUGAACCAGUACCGUGAGGGAAAGGUGAAAAGCACCCCGGGAGGGGAGUGAAAUAGAACCUGAAACCGUGUGCCUACAACAAGUUCGAGCCCGUUAAUGGGUGAGAGCGUGCCUUUUGUAGAAUGAACCGGCGAGUUACGUUAUGAUGCGAGGUUAAGUUGAAGAGACGGAGCCGUAGGGAAACCGAGUCUGAAUAGGGCGCCUUAGUAUCAUGACGUAGACCCGAAACCAUGUGACCUACCCAUGAGCAGGUUGAAGGUGCGGUAAGACGCACUGGAGGACCGAACCAGGGCACGUUGAAAAGUGCUUGGAUGACUUGUGGGUAGCGGAGAAAUUCCAAACGAACUUGGAGAUAGCUGGUUCUCUCCGAAAUAGCUUUAGGGCUAGCGUCGACAUUAGAGAUUCUUGGAGGUAGAGCACUGUUUGGGUGAGGGGUCCAUCCCGGAUUACCAAUCUCAGAUAAACUCCGAAUGCCAAUGAAUUAUGGUCGGCAGUCAGACUGCGAGUGCUAAGAUCCGUAGUCGAAAGGGAAACAGCCCAGACCACCAGCUAAGGUCCCAAAAUAAUUGUUAAGUGGAAAAGGAUGUGGGGUUGCACAGACAACUAGGAUGUUAGCUUAGAAGCAGCUAUUCAUUCAAAGAGUGCGUAAUAGCUCACUAGUCGAGUGACCCUGCGCCGAAAAUGUACCGGGGCUAAAACAAUUUACCGAAGCUGUGGAUACCUUUAUAGGUAUGGUAGGAGAGCGUUCUAUGUGUGAUGAAGGUAUACCGUGAGGAGUGCUGGAACGCAUAGAAGUGAGAAUGCCGGUAUGAGUAGCGAAAGACAGGUGAGAAUCCUGUCCACCGUAAGACUAAGGUUUCCAGGGGAAGGCUCGUCCGCCCUGGGUUAGUCGGGACCUAAGGAGAGACCGAAAGGUGUAUCCGAUGGACAACAGGUUGAUAUUCCUGUACUAGAGUAUGUAGUGAUGGAGGGACGCAGUAGGCUAACUAAAGCAGACGAUUGGAAGAGUCUGUCUAAGCAGUGAGGUGUGAAUUGAGUCAAAUGCUUAAUUCUAUAACAUUGAGCUGUGAUGGGGAGCGAAGUUUAGUAGCGAAGUUAGUGACGUCACACUGCCAAGAAAAGCUUCUAGCGUUUAAACAUACUCUACCCGUACCGCAAACCGACACAGGUAGUCGAGGCGAGUAGCCUCAGGUGAGCGAGAGAACUCUCGUUAAGGAACUCGGCAAAAUGACCCCGUAACUUCGGGAGAAGGGGUGCUGACUUAAAGUCAGCCGCAGUGAAUAGGCCCAAGCAACUGUUUAUCAAAAACACAGCUCUCUGCUAAAUCGUAAGAUGAUGUAUAGGGGGUGACGCCUGCCCGGUGCUGGAAGGUUAAGAGGAGUGCUUAGCGUAAGCGAAGGUAUGAAUUGAAGCCCCAGUAAACGGCGGCCGUAACUAUAACGGUCCUAAGGUAGCGAAAUUCCUUGUCGGGUAAGUUCCGACCCGCACGAAAGGCGUAAUGAUUUGGGCACUGUCUCAACGAGAGACUCGGUGAAAUUUUAGUACCUGUGAAGAUGCAGGUUACCCGCGACAGGACGGAAAGACCCCAUGGAGCUUUACUGCAGUUUGAUAUUGAGUGUCUGUACCACAUGUACAGGAUAGGUAGGAGUCUAAGAGAUCGGGACGCCAGUUUCGAAGGAGACGCUGUUGGGAUACUACCCUUGUGUUAUGGCCACUCUAACCCAGAUAGGUGAUCCCUAUCGGAGACAGUGUCUGACGGGCAGUUUGACUGGGGCGGUCGCCUCCUAAAAGGUAACGGAGGCGCCCAAAGGUUCCCUCAGAAUGGUUGGAAAUCAUUCGCAGAGUGUAAAGGUAUAAGGGAGCUUGACUGCGAGAGCUACAACUCGAGCAGGGACGAAAGUCGGGCUUAGUGAUCCGGUGGUUCCGUAUGGAAGGGCCAUCGCUCAACGGAUAAAAGCUACCCUGGGGAUAACAGGCUUAUCUCCCCCAAGAGUUCACAUCGACGGGGAGGUUUGGCACCUCGAUGUCGGCUCG
rnacentral:rRNA from 1 species